GAUGAACGCUGGCGGCGUGCCUAAUACAUGCAAGUCGAGCGAACAGACGAGGAGCUUGCUCCUCUGGCGUUAGCGGCGGACGGGUGAGUAACACGUGGAUAACCUACCUAUAAGACUGGGAUAACUUCGGGAAACCGGAGCUAAUACCGGAUAAUAUAUUGAACCGCAUGGUUCAAUAGUGAAAGACGGUGUUGCGGUCACUUAUAGAUGGAUCCGCGCCGCAUUAGCUAGUUGGUAAGGUAACGGCUUACCAAGGCAACGAUGCGUAGCCGAAGUGAGAGGGUGAUCGGCCACACUGGAACUGAGACACGGUCCAGAGUCCUACGGGAGGCAGCAGUAGCGAAUCUGCCGCAGUGGGCGAAAGCCUGACGGAGCAACGCCACGCGAGUUAUGAAGGUCUUCGGAUCGUAAAACUCUGUUAUGAGGGAAGAACAAAUGUGGAAGUAGAUAUGCACGUAGUGACGGUAACUGAUCAGAAAGCCACGGCUAACUACGUG
rnacentral:rRNA from 1 species